UGUUGGUAAAUCUCGUGCCAGCCACCGCGGUUAUACGAAUUGGCCCAAGUUGAUAGGUAUCGGCGUAAAGCGUGGUUAAGGACUAACUAAAGACUAGAGCCGAACGUCCUCAAAGCUGUUAUACGCUUCCGAAAGAACGAAGUCCCCCAACGAAAGUGGCUUUAAUACCCAACCUGACCCCACGAAAGCUGUGAAACAAACUAGGAUUAGAUACCCCAC
rnacentral:rRNA from 1 species